AUUGAACGCUGGCGGCAGGCUUAACACAUGCAAGUCGAGCGAGCGGCGGACGGGUGAGUAAUGUCUGGGAAACUGCCUGAUGGAGGGGGCUAACUACUGGAAACGGUAGCUAAUACCGCAUACCAUCCGAUGAGCCCAGAUGGGAUUAGCUAGUAGGGGGGGUAAUGGCUAACCUAGGCGACGAUCCCUAGCUGGUCUGAGAGGAUGAUCAGCCACACUGGGACUGAGACACGGCCCAGACUCCUACGGGAGGCAGCAGUGGGGAAUAUUGCACAAUGGGCGCAAGCCUGAUGCAGCCAUGCCGCGUGUAUGAAGAAGGCCCUAGGGUUGUAAAGUACUUUCAGUCGGGAGGCGUUACCGACAGAAGAAGCACCGGCUAACUACGUGCCAGCAGCCGCGGUAAUAC
rnacentral:rRNA from 1 species